rnacentral:rRNA from 1 species
AGGGGUAGGGGAGCGUUGAAUGCGGGUUGAAGGUGUACCGGAAGGAGCGCUGGACUGCAUUCAAGUGAGAAUGCCGGUAUGAGUAACGAAAAGAUCUGUGAGAAUCAGAUCCGCCGAAAGCCUAAGGGUUCCUGAGGAAGGUUCGUCCGCUCAGGGUAAGUCGGGACCUAAGGCGAGGCCGAUAGGCGUAGUCGAAGGACAACAGGUGGAAAUUCCUGUACCACCGUAAUCCGUGAUGAGCGAUGGGGUGACGCAGUAGGGUAGUGACGCGGACUGAUGGAUGUCCGUCUAAGCAGUGAGGCUGAUGUGUAGGCAAAUCCGCACAUCGUUAAGGCUGGGCUGUGAUGGGGAGCGAAAAUUAUAGUAGCGAAGGUCAUGAUCUCAGACUGCCAAGAAAAGCCUCUAGCCAGGAGAAGGUGCCCGUACCGCAAACCGACACAGGUAGGCGAGAAGAGAAUUCUAAGGCGCGCGGAAGAACUCUCGUUAAGGAACUCGGCAAAAUGACCCCGUAACUUCGGGAGAAGGGGUGCCUCGGUAGGGUGAAUAGCCUGAGGGGGCCGCAGUGAAAAGGCCCAAGCGACUGUUUAGCAAAAACACAGGUCUGUGCGAAGCCGCAAGGCGAAGUAUACGGGCUGACGCCUGCCCGGUGCUGGAAGGUUAAGGGGAGUGGUAAGCCUUCGGGCGAAGCUAUGAACCGAAGCCCCAGUAAACGGCGGCCGUAACUAUAACGGUCCUAAGGUAGCGAAAUUCCUUGUCAGGUAAAUU